GACGAACGCUGGCGGCGUGCUUAACACAUGCAAGUCGAACGGAAAGGCCCUGCUUUUGUGGGGUGCUCGAGUGGCGAACGGGUGAGUAACACGUGAGUAACCUGCCCUUGACUUUGGGAUAACUUCAGGAAACUGGGGCUAAUACCGGAUAGGAGCUCCUGCUGCAUGGUGUGGGUUGGAAAGUUUCGGCGGUUGGGGAUGGACUCGCGGCUUAUCAGCUUGUUGGUGGGGUAGUGGCUUACCAAGGUUUUGACGGGUAGCCGGCCUGCGAGGGUGACCGGCGACAAUGGGACUGCGAUACGGCCCAGAAUCCUACGUGAGGCAGCAGUGGGGAAUAUUGCACAAUGGGCGGAAGCCUGAUGCAGCAACGCCGCGUGCGGGAUGACGGCCUUCGGGUUGUAAACCGCUUUCGCCUGUGACGAAGCGUGAGUGACGGUAAUGGGUAAAGAAGCACCGGCUAACUACGUG
rnacentral:rRNA from 1 species